rnacentral:rRNA from 1 species
AUUGAACGCUGGCGGAAUGCUUUACACAUGCAAGUCGAGCGGCAGCGCGGGGGGCAACCCUGGCGGCGAGCGGCGAACGGGUGAGUAAUACAUCGGAACGUGUCCUUGAGUGGGGGAUAGCUCGGCGAAAGCCGGAUUAAUACCGCAUAAGCUCUGAGGAGGAAAGCGGGGGACCUGGUAACGGGCCUCGCGCUGUUGGAGCGGCCGAUGUCGGAUUAGCUAGUUGGUGGGGUAAAGGCCCACCAAGGCGACGAUCCGUAGCUGGUCUGAGAGGAUGAUCAGCCACACUGGAACUGAGA